rnacentral:lncRNA from 1 species
UCAGUUAGCGCUGUUAGUUUCCGGGUUGGUUCCUCUUGGUGAUAGACCGCAAGUCAUGCUGAUAAUCCAGUGAUCUUUUUUGAAACUGCCAAAUCAGGGCACGGUGAUCUUUAGCGCUCUAUUUCCCAUAUAGUAUGAGCGGGCAGAAGUCGUAGCCUACUACACACAACGGCAUCAGCCGAGUUAUUAUUACGUUCCUGUCCUCAUCCCUCUGCCCAUACAUGUUUCGCCAUGUUUCGUGUGAUUAGGUGUCCUUUCCCUGCUGAUUGGAAGUGGAGUGGGUUGCUGGUACUUCAGUCCCUCUGCUGAAGCUGCAGGGGACGAAAGCCAGGCAGAGGUGUUUGAAAAAUGGACUUUGAAAUAGAAAAGGUCCCGGCCAAAGAGCGUGAGAAAUGGAGUUUGAAAUGAAAAAAUCAGGAGGGGGGAUGUGGAGCUAGAGCUGGCGAACACCUGCUCCCCGUCUGACGCCGAGAGAGAUCAGGUCCCCUGACUCCAACUGUGAAAGCGGACCACACCACGGUAAUGGUGCCCGCCCAGUACACCGGAACCAGCACCAACUGGGCAACAUGGACAAUGGCCGGGGAUAGGAUUGGCA